CAAAUAAUUUGGGACGGAGGGAG
rnacentral:miRNA from 1 species